rnacentral:lncRNA from 1 species
GGAGGAUGAUCUGUUCCAGGGCCUCAAAGUGGAGUGAUCCCAGUAGAUGACUUUUCAGAAACUCUGAGGUCUACCCUGUUUCAGCAUCGGGGACUACAGGACUUUGAUAUAGGCCUUUUGAAACAGAGGUUCCGGUGGCCCUGACUGGCCUCUACCUUCCAAGUGCUAAGAUUACAGGUAUGUACUACCACAGCUGCUCUUAGCUGUUUGUAGCACAGCUGACUGGGAUCAUUUAUAAAUCUCACCCAU